AUUGCUUGAACCUGGGAGGGAGACAGGUUGCAGUGAGCCGAGAUUGUGCCGCUGCUCUCCAGCCUGGGCAACAGGGAGACUGUCUCGAAAGAUAGUAAAGUCAAUAUAUAGAACAGUUCUAACACCAAAAGAUACCUCAUGUUACCUUACAGAGUCAGGCCACCUCUUCCUCUUGUCAUCCCCACUGACCCCUGGCAAGCACAAAGCAGUCUUCAUUUUGUCGAUUCAAGAAUGGAAAUGAUAGGGAUCAUCUGCUUUGAAAUGUGGAGAUUACCAUGUUUUAUGAGUCAGAUAAAAGACUCAAGAAUGGAGGAUAACUCACCAGUGGUCACACUGCCAGAAAGUGGGAGAGCUGGGACUUGAAACCAUUACUCUUAUGUCAAAGAGUUCCUUUAUUCACUGUGCUGUUUGACUACCAAGUGGAUCCCUAAAGACUUCAAUAAGUUAGUGUGUGUGUGGGUACACGGUGGGUGCCGGAUAGUGUCUGGAUGAACACAUUAUUUUUGUAACAGCUGUGUUGAGCUAUGACUGAUAAAGAACAAAAACUGUACCUUUAAUGUGUACAGCUUGAUGAGUUUAGACAGUUGGAUGAAUUUGUGCAAACACAUGAUGCUAUCAUGUAUGUGACCCUUUGUAAUCUGGUUUCUGCUUGUUUUCCUGUUACCGUCUUCCUACUUUAUGCUUUAGGUAUUAGGGAAAAACGUUUUUUCAAGUUCUUUUGCACAUGCACUUGCCUUUGCCUGAAACACUUAGGCUUUCCUUUGGUCACUUGAUGAGUCCCUGUGUGUCCUUUAGCAUUCACUCUGUGUUAUCUCAUAGAUGGUACCUUCCCUGAUGCAAAUAUUUUAAGGAGAGGAAUGAAGAAAGCUCUUGGAAUCAGAGAAGAGAGAUUACUUCUGUUUGUAAUAAAAUCCCCCACAUCUUUGUUUCUAUGACAGAUGUUUCUGUUACAGUGUUUUUAACUUGUAAAGUUCUGUCUUCCUCACUACACCUGAGUUUAAGGACUGAUCUUACUAAAUUUUGCACUCCUUGUGCCUGGAAUAUAGUAAGCAUUCAAUAAAUGCUCUUCGAAUUAAUGAGAAGAUAAUGAGAAAAAUGCUCUU